UGGGGAAUAUUGGACAAUGGGCGCAAGCCUGAUCCAGCCAUGCCGCGUGAGUGAUGAAGGGCCCUAGGGUUGUAAAGCUCUUUCAAGCGAGGAGGAUAAUGACGUUACUCGCAGAAGAAGCCCCGGCUAACUUCGUGCCAGCAGCCGCGGUAAUACGAAGGGGGGCUAGCGUUGUUCGGAAUCACUGGGCGUAAAGCGCACGUAGGCGGACUUUUAAGUCAGGGGUGAAAUCCCGGGGCUCAACCUCGGAACUGCCUUUGAUACUGGAAGUCUGGAGUCCGAGAGAGGUGAGUGGAACUCCGAGUGUAGAGGUGAAAUUCGUAGAUAUUCGGAAGAACACCAGUGGCGAAGGCGGCUCACUGGCUCGGUACUGACGCUGAGGUGCGAAAGCGUGGGGAGCAAACAGAUUAGAUACCCUGGUAGUCACGCCGUAAACGAUGGAAGCUAGCCGUCAGGGUGCAUGCAUCUUGGGUGGCGCAGUUAACGCAUUAAGCUUCCCGCCUGGGG
rnacentral:rRNA from 1 species